GUUUUUAAGGCCACCCCUGGAAAGCUGCUCACCUUCGGAAACCGCUGUAUCUGAAGCUGCGCCAUCUUCUUUGUCCGCGGCCAUAACGCCGCGCGUCUCCAGCCUGAGUGGUUCUGUGGGCCUUGAGGAAGCCACAAACAGCUGUGGGAAGUGGUCGCAGGAAGCGGCCAGCCAGCCAGAAGGAAAGGGAGAAACACGUCCUCAGCAGCAAGCAGGCAAAGCCUUCUGUCUCUGAUGUUUUCAUGGGAUCAAAUGGACUUUAUGAGCCUGAAAGUGUUUUGGAAAUGAGAAAGCCCUACAAGAUACACAUUAUGCCUGGCUGAAACUAUUGGGUUUUGGCCCAGAAACAAAAGAGCCUACAGUACCACCCUGAGAAAAUUAAGGCCAGAAACUUGGUCAUGGCUACACACAACUCUGGUCUGACUACAGCUUCAAAGCUUAAGCAAGAUUUGGGGUGGAGGAACGCCUAAGCGGGAAUACACUGCUAUAGCUGCUGUGUGCUGGGUCCCUGGUGUACAGGCUGUGCAGUGACAAUUCCUGACUGCCGGAAGAGGUGGAAAUGCAGGCCUCCAUCUGCCCGUACCAUCUAUUCAGAGACACAGCUGAAGUGACAGCCUUCCAGGGAAAUUUGCUGAGCUGGUACGACCGAGAGAAGUGGCACCUAUCCUAGAGAAGACAGGCGGAGCAUGAAGUGGACCUAGACAAGCGGGUGUAUGCUGGUGGUCCACAUCUUCUCUCACAUCAAGCUGACAUACCAAGUAUAUGGUCUGGCCAUGGAGGGACAAACCUCAGUGACUAGCACACCACCUGACACUUGCUGGGUGACGUGGGAGGAAUUUCGCACCGUAGCUGUCUCCACUACCAUAAAAAACGCACUACCUGGGCUCUGGCGCCUGUGGCUCAAGUGGCUAAGGCGCCAGCCACAUACACCUGAGCUGGUGGGUUCGAAUCCAGCUUGGGCCUGUCAAACAACAAUGAUGGCUGCAACCAAAAAAUAGCCGGGCGUUGUGGCAGGCGCUUGUAGUCCCAGUUACUUGGGAGGCAGAGGCAAGAGAAUUGCUUGAGCCCAGGAGUUGGAGGUUGCUGUGAGCUAUGAUGCAACAGCUCUCUACCCAAGGCGACACCUUGAAGCUCUGUCUCAAAAAAAAAAAAGGCACUACCUUUAUUGUCUUUGUUGUAUUAUUUUGUGUUUCCUACAUGUUCUACGUGAA